ensembl:lncRNA
UUUAAUUUUUAUUUUUUCUCAAAUUUAAGCAUUGAUGCAUCUAGGGAAGAUGGAUCGUUUAGGCGGUUAGUUAACGAUGACCACCAACAUCCAAAUUGUAAGAUCAAGAAAAUUGAUGUGAAUGGAAAGGCACACCUGUGUUUAUUUGCGCUGAAAGACAUUAAAGAAGAAGAAGAAAUCACAUACGAUUAUGGGGGAGACGACUGCCCAUGGAGAACCCAACAGGUGACGCUGAUCCUUCUCUCCAGUCACAGACUCAGAUGGAUGAUGCUUCUGGUCAAACCAAGUCUCCUCAACAGGAGAACAGUAUUGCUGCUAAUAGCAGAGCAGCAGGUGACUCUGAUCCUUCUCUCCAGUCACAGACUCAGAUGGAUGAUGCUUCUGGUCAAACCAAGUUUCCUCAACAGAUUGCGACCCAGCGCCAAAAUUAGAUUUUUGUGCCAAGACUGAGAUGGACUAAAAGUAUCAUAGCAAGUUUGUCACAACAAAGAGACUUGAUGUCUUUUUUUUUUCUUUUUCUUUUUUUGUAUUCCUCAGAUCAUUCUCAUCAUCAAUAAUAAUUUAUGUAAUAUUAGUAUUCUUAUGUGAUAUUGACUGCAAAAUAUCAGAGAAUACAAUUUAAUUUUACUUUAACACCAGAAUUAUGUGAUCAGAUAUAUAUUUUUUUGUCAGAUCAACUGUCCAUAACUUUUGCAUUGAGAACUUUAUUAUAACAUAGUAAGAAGCAGCAAAUCAUCACAUGUAACUUGCAAACUUGAGGGGGAAAAAAAUUUCAAUAGAUUAACAGAGACACAGUACAUUGGCUAUUAUUUUCAAAAUCAAAUGAUCAGUUAAUUGCAGCAGUUCUACCGAUUUCUUUUUUUUUUAGAUGAAAGACACAAAUCUUGAAGAUUCUGGUGAGCUCUUUGAUUCUACACCAGAGAGUUCAGGGCCCGGUUCCCCAAAACGUUCUUAUCGCGAAGUAGUUCUUAACCUAUUCCUUAACCUCUCUCUUAACGUUAUGGCAUGAUUCCCGACACAAUCGUACGCAAAUUAUAUCUUCUGUAAGUCACACUUUUGUAAGGUUGGUCUGGACCAUUCGUAAGUUCUCUCUUAGAGUUGUUUGAGCUCAAGACGCUAGUUGCGCCCACUGUGCAGCAAUCUUUAGAAAUCAGCGCAGCGCAGUACAAGUCAAACUAUAGUAUGUUGACAAUGUUGUGGCUCAACAAUGAUUUUAUGUUAUGGACAUUUUAAGACUAAUAAUAAAAUAUGUUCGCAAUGGAUACA